UACGUAGGUGGCAAGCGUUGUCCGGAUUUACUGGGCGUAAAGAGCGCGCAGGCGGUCGGCCAAGUCGAGUGUGAAAGCCCCCGGCUCAACUGGGGAGGGUCAUUCGAUACUGGUCGACUCGAAGGCAGGAGAGGGAAGCGGAAUUCCCGGUGUAGUGGUGAAAUGCGUAGAUAUCGGGAGGAACACCAGUGGCGAAGGCGGCUUCCUGGCCUGUUCUUGACGCUGAGGCGCGAAAGCUAGGGGAGCAGACGGG
rnacentral:rRNA from 1 species